rnacentral:rRNA from 1 species
AGCGUAGACGGUGCGGCAAGUCUGAUGUGAAAGGCAUGGGCUCAACCUGUGGACUGCAUUGGAAACUGUCAUACUUGAGUGCCGGAGGGGUAAGCGGAAUUCCUAGUGUAGCGGUGAAAUGCGUAGAUAUUAGGAGGAACACCAGUGGCGAAGGCGGCUUACUGGACGGUAACUGACGUUGAGGCUCGAAAGCGUGGGAGCAAACA